AUUGAACGCUGGCGGCAGGCCUAACACAUGCAAGUCGAACGGUAACAGGAAGAAGCUUGCUUCUUUGCUGACGAGUGGCGGAAGGGAUAGUACUGUCUGGGAAACUGCCUGAUGGAGGGGGAUAACUACUGGAAACGGUAGCCAAUACCGCAUAACGUCGCAAGACCAAAGAGGGGGACCUUCGGGCCUCUUGCCGUCGGAUGUGUCCAGAUGGGAUUAGCUAGUGGGUGGGGUAAAGGCUCACCUAGGCGACGAUCCCUAGCUGGUCUGAGAGGAUGACCAGCCACACUGGGACUGAGACACGGUCCAGACUCCUACGGGAGGCAGCAGUGGGGAAUAUUGCACAAUGGGCGCAAGCCUGAUGCAGCCAUGCCGCGUGUAUGAAGAAGGCCUUCGGGUUGUAAAGUACUUUCGGCGGGGAGGAAGGGAGUAAAGUUAAUACCUUUGCUCAUUGACGUUACCCGCAGAAGAAGCACCGGCUAACUCCGUG
rnacentral:rRNA from 1 species